CCAGGGUUGCACAAUUGUUCUUCAAGAAGAGACGGCGAGGUAAGCGAAUACCUUCCUCUUAAUAAUGUGAGCAUUCAAUUACGAUCACAUAUCGAAUACCAAACUGGCAAACUUGCGAAUUCAAUGGGAAGGAGGACGAUAGAUAUCGGAAAUGGUUAACUUUUUUAGGUCAAUAUCCUCCUAUAGUUAUGCAAUUUAAAUUGUUGUUUCUUUUGUUUUUCGAAAUUUUUUUUUUGGAAAAGGAGGUAUGGUAACCGUGAUUCAUUAUAGCUUUUUUCCUUUUUUUUUUUUCGGUUUUGACACAUUAUAGUUUUUCUUUCUUUGCCGAGGACAAUAUAUUUAUUAUAGUUGGUUCUCUCUUGAGAAAAUUUGUGAUGUUGUACUCUUUUAUCAUCUCUUAAUAUACGUAGGAUUACCUAAACAUAUUUUCACUCUAUGUUGGAAACAAUUGAGGUACCAUUCAAAGUUGGAUAAAAGAAUCCAGCAGAGCAGACAAUAUCACGUCCUCCUAAACAACAGUUCAUGAUGCUUAUACAUUUAUGAUCCGUAUCUUUAGGAAAAAGUGGUGAUCAGUGUUAUUCGUUGUUAGAAUUGUAGUUGAGCGAAUAAAGGCAGAGAAGUAAGCCAAUCAUGUUCGUGCUUUGGUUCUUGACUGUUCAUUUGUGGAUCUUAUACAUAAAGUUUAGCGGAACGAUUUCGCAGUUUUCAUAAUCUAUUCAUUGGUGCGGCGGUCAAUGAAUUUUUAAAAUAUGCAAAUGACUGCAUUUUUAGUCUAUGUUUAAACAUACAAACUCUUUUCUUUUCAAUUUUCUAUGUUUGUAGUUGUUUUUUUAAGAAUUUUAAGUAAUAUUACGU